AUUGAACGCUGGCGGCAUGCCUUACACAUGCAAGUCGAACGGUAACAGGUCUUCGGAUGCUGACGAGUGGCGAACGGGUGAGUAAUACAUCGGAACGUGCCUAGUAGUGGGGGAUAACUACUCGAAAGAGUGGCUAAUACCGCAUGAGAUCUACGGAUGAAAGCAGGGGAUCGCAAGACCUUGUGCUACUAGAGCGGCCGAUGGCAGAUUAGGUAGUUGGUGGGAUAAAAGCUUACCAAGCCGACGAGCUGUAGCUGGUCUGAGAGGACGAUCAGCCACACUGGGAAUGAGACACGGCCCAGACGCCUACGGGAGGCAGCAGUGGGGAAUUUUGGACAAUGGGCGCAAGCCUGAUCCAGCAAUGCCGCGUGCAGGAUGAAGGCCUUCGGGUUGUAAACUGCUUUUGUACGGAACGAAAAGCCCCGGGUUAAUACCCUGGGGUCAUGACGGUACCGUAAGAAUAAGCACCGGCUAACUACGUGCCAGCCGCCGCAGUAA
rnacentral:rRNA from 1 species